CAGAGACGGGCGGUCACCCACAGGCGACGGCAUUCACCUGCGCCUGUCGCCCGUUUUCCACUCCCCCCGAUGCCCCACCAUUCGCUUCUGCGGGGCUGCGCAGACAGAACGGCCUGGGGCCCCUGACCCCACCCAAGAGGCAAAGUCGCCUCCACCCAUUUCUGAACAUCUGAACAUUCACAGUGGUUGCUUCCUACGGGACCCACCACCUGCCUUCUAGGCCUGCAGCCCCACUACCUGACUGGUGAACUUCUGGUGUGGAAAACAGCGGUGUCAGGCUCCCCACACCUGGGCCAGUCUCUUAGGCUCCACUGUCUGGCUUCUCUGAGAACCUACUCGGACAAGCAGUCUCCUGGGGGGGUUACCGGGGAUGGAGGUGCCCAGGGCCACGAAG